AGUAGCAGUUGUAGAGAGCGAGAGAGAGAGGGACAGUGAGAGAGCAGGAAGAGGUAGACGAAACAAAUCAUCUGACACAGAGUUUCAAGGAAACUACGGGAAGAAAAAAUGAAAGACAGGGAGAGAGUGAGUGAAUAGAGGAAAACUUGAAUAACGACUUCAGAAAACAGCAAGAAAGUUGACCGAGAGUGGAAUGAGUAUUAGGAUAGAACAACACUGCUAACAGUGGAGGAGUGAAAGAGGAACUGUAGAGCUCUGUCAGAGUGACCAUCGGGUUCUUGGUCACCUCCCUGACCAAGAAUGAGCGAGGAGCUGUCCUUUAAAGCAGGUGAAGUGUUCCGGAAGGUUGAGGAGGAGGAUGACCAGGGCUGGUGCAGGGGGAUGAUGGAUGGAGGAAAGGACGGCUUCUACCCAGCUAAUUACAUUGAGGCUGUUGUGCAGUGAUGAUGUCAUCCUGCCACGCCCACACUCAAGUGUUACCUCAAGUGUUACAAAAUGUGCAUGUGUUCAUUGACAAAUCCACUUUGGUGCAAAAACCAUUUAGAAUUUGGAGUUGACUUUGACAUCUUACCAAAAUAACCAUAAACAUGAAAUGUUAACGCCCACAAUGUUAUCAUAAUCAUCAUGCUGAAAUAUGCAAUGUACAUUUUUAUCUAAAGAUUGAUACCCUCAAUUAUCUAAUUUUAUAUCACCAAAUUUUUACAUUCUGGCACAAAGAACACAUGUUCAACUUCAUAAAAAAACAUGUUUUCCCAUCUCAAGAGGUAAAUACAAAAAAUACUAUAGUAAGUGCCUAAUAAAUGCCAAAGUAGGUAACAGGGUUGACCGUAACUUAACCAAUUAACUUCUUGCGUCGAGCCAUCCCGGAUCCGGUAUCGUGACUACAGCCUCAAGCUCAUUACCAUAACGCAACGUUAACUGUUCAUGAAA